rnacentral:rRNA from 1 species
UACGGAGGGGGUUAGCGUUGUUCGGAAUUACUGGGCGUAAAGCGCACGUAGGCGGAUCGGAAAGUUGGGGGUGAAAUCCCGGGGCUCAACCCCGGAACGGCCUCCAAAACUAUCGGUCUAGAGUUCGAGAGAGGUGAGUGGAAUUCCGAGUGUAGAGGUGAAAUUCGUAGAUAUUCGGAGGAACACCAGUGGCGAAGGCGGCUCACUGGCUCGAUACUGACGCUGAGGUGCGAAAGUGUGGGGAGCAAACAGG